UGGGGAAUAUUAGACAAUGGGCGAAAGCCUGAUCCAGCCAUGCCGCGUGUGUGAAGAAGGUCUUCGGAUUGUAAAGCACUUUAAGUUGGGAGGAAGGGCAGUAAGCGAAUACCUUGCUGUUUUGACGUUACCGACAGAAUAAGCACCGGCUAACUCUGUGCCAGCAGCCGCGGUAAUACAGAGGGUGCAAGCGUUAAUCGGAAUUACUGGGCGUAAAGCGCGCGUAGGUGGUUCGUUAAGUUGAAUGUGAAAGCCCCGGGCUCAACCUGGGAACUGCAUCCAAAACUGGCGAGCUAGAGUAGGGCAGAGGGUGGUGGAAUUUCCUGUGUAGCGGUGAAAUGCGUAGAUAUAGGAAGGAACACCAGUGGCGAAGGCGACCACCUGGGCUCAUACUGACACUGAGGUGCGAAAGCGUGGGGAGCAAACAGG
rnacentral:rRNA from 1 species